UACGAAGGGGGCUAGCGUUGCUCGGAAUCACUGGGCGUAAAGCGCACGUAGGCGGAUUGUUAAGUCAGGGGUGAAAUCCUGGAGCUCAACUCCAGAACUGCCUUUGAUACUGGCGAUCUCGAGUCCGGGAGAGGUGAGUGGAACUGGCGAGUGUAGAGGUGAAAUUCGUAGAUAUUCGCAAGAACACCAGUGGCGAAGGCGGCUCACUGGCCCGGUACUGACGCUGAGGUGCGAAAGCGUGGGGAGCAAACAGG
rnacentral:rRNA from 1 species